rnacentral:rRNA from 1 species
AUUGAACGCUGGCGGCAGGCCUAACACAUGCAAGUCGAGCGAGCGGCGGACGGGUGAGUAAUGUCUGGGAAACUGCCUGCUGGAGGGGGAUAACUACUGGAAACGGUAGCUCAUACCGCAUACCAUCAGAUGUGCCCAGAUGGGAUUAGCUAGUAGGUUGGGUAACGGCUCACCUAGGCGACGAUCCCUAGCUGGUCUGAGAGGAUGACAAGCCACACGGGAACUGAGACACGGUCCAGACUCCUACGGGAGGCAGCAUGGGGGAAGAUUGCACAAUGGGCGCAAGCCUGAUGCAGCCAUGCCGCGUGUGUGAAGAAGGCCUUCGGGUUGUAAAGAACUUUCAGCGGGGAGGCGUUACCCGCAGAAGAAGCACCGGCUAACUCCGUGACAGCAGCCGCGGUAAUAG